UAGAAAAAUAUUUCAAAAACAUAAAGACUGAACCAUAAUAAAAUGUGAAAAUUUUCCAAUAAUUAUUUUAAAUUCGGUGGUUUUAUAAACUCCAUAUGCUUUUAAUAAAUUUAAUUUAUUUUUCAUUAAAUGCUAUUAUGUGCUGUGGAAUGAUUUUCUUGGUAGUCUCGAGCAGAAGCAGUGGAGUCUCAACACAUUUGGAAUCGAGGUCAUCGUAAUAUCAUCUUUUGAAGGAGACAAUAAGAUGAAUUCUCUAGCAUUCCUCCUGAACCGUUGAUCGCACUUGUCCCUGAACAUAUGCCCGUAAGCAGAACCAAUCCAUGGCAUUGCACUCGUAAGAAUCUUCCUUGUUUUCUGGACGACCUAUUGGUGUUCUCUUCUUCUCUAUAAGCUCUUUAAUUGGAUCUGAGUCUUUGGGGAUCUCUAUCUCCCUUCACCCCUCUCUCUCAGCAUUAUGUGGCAUAUGUAAACAAUGUCACUUAGAGUUUUUUUUAAAAAUAUCCCUUAGAAUUGGCUCAUUUGAGAUAAUUCAAUAAAGUUGUUGACAAAAUAAAAAUCUGCAUAUAAGUUUUA